rnacentral:rRNA from 1 species
UUAAGCGACUAAGCGUACACGGUGGAUGCCCUGGCAGUCAGAGGCGAUGAAGGACGUGCUAAUCUGCGAUAAGCGUCGGUAAGGUGAUAUGAACCGUUAUAACCGGCGAUUUCCGAAUGGGGAAACCCAGUGUGUUUCGACACACUAUCAUUAACUGAAUCCAUAGGUUAAUGAGGCGAACCGGGGGAACUGAAACAUCUAAGUACCCCGAGGAAAAGAAAUCAACCGAGAUUCCCCCAGUAGCGGCGAGCGAACGGGGAGCAGCCCAGAGCCUGAAUCAGUGUGUGUGUUAGUGGAAGCGUCUGGAAAGGCGCGCGAUACAGGGUGACAGCCCCGUACACAAAAAUGCACAUAUUGUGAGCUCGAUGAGUAGGGCGGGACACGUGGUAUCCUGUCUGAAUAUGGGGGGACCAUCCUCCAAGGCUAAAUACUCCUGACUGACCGAUAGUGAACCAGUACCGUGAGGGAAAGGCGAAAAGAACCCCGGCGAGGGGAGUGAAAAAGAACCUGAAACCGUGUACGUACAAGCAGUGGGAGCACGCUUAGGCGUGUGACUGCGUACCUUUUGUAUAAUGGGUCAGCGACUUAUAUUCUGUAGCAAGGUUAACCGAAUAGGGGAGCCGAAGGGAAACCGAGUCUUAACUGGGCGUUAAGUUGCAGGGUAUAGACCCGAAACCCGGUGAUCUAGCCAUGGGCAGGUUGAAGGUUGGGUAACACUAACUGGAGGACCGAACCGACUAAUGUUGAAAAAUUAGCGGAUGACUUGUGGCUGGGGGUGAAAGGCCAAUCAAACCGGGAGAUAGCUGGUUCUCCCCGAAAGCUAUUUAGGUAGCGCCUCGUGAAUUCAUCUCCGGGGGUAGAGCACUGUUUCGGCAAGGGGGUCAUCCCGACUUACCAACCCGAUGCAAACUGCGAAUACCGGAGAAUGUUAUCACGGGAGACACACGGCGGGUGCUAACGUCCGUCGUGAAGAGGGAAACAACCCAGACCGCCAGCUAAGGUCCCAAAGUCAUGGUUAAGUGGGAAACGAUGUGGGAAGGCCCAGACAGCCAGGAUGUUGGCUUAGAAGCAGCCAUCAUUUAAAGAAAGCGUAAUAGCUCACUGGUCGAGUCGGCCUGCGCGGAAGAUGUAACGGGGCUAAACCAUGCACCGAAGCUGCGGCAGCGACGCUUAUGCGUUGUUGGGUAGGGGAGCGUUCUGUAAGCCUGCGAAGGUGUGCUGUGAGGCAUGCUGGAGGUAUCAGAAGUGCGAAUGCUGACAUAAGUAACGAUAAAGCGGGUGAAAAGCCCGCUCGCCGGAAGACCAAGGGUUCCUGUCCAACGUUAAUCGGGGCAGGGUGAGUCGACCCCUAAGGCGAGGCCGAAAGGCGUAGUCGAUGGGAAACAGGUUAAUAUUCCUGUACUUGGUGUUACUGCGAAGGGGGGACGGAGAAGGCUAUGUUGGCCGGGCGACGGUUGUCCCGGUUUAAGCGUGUAGGCUGGUUUUCCAGGCAAAUCCGGAAAAUCAAGGCUGAGGCGUGAUGACGAGGCACUACGGUGCUGAAGCAACAAAUGCCCUGCUUCCAGGAAAAGCCUCUAAGCAUCAGGUAACAUCAAAUCGUACCCCAAACCGACACAGGUGGUCAGGUAGAGAAUACCAAGGCGCUUGAGAGAACUCGGGUGAAGGAACUAGGCAAAAUGGUGCCGUAACUUCGGGAGAAGGCACGCUGAUAUGUAGGUGAGGUCCCUCGCGGAUGGAGCUGAAAUCAGUCGAAGAUACCAGCUGGCUGCAACUGUUUAUUAAAAACACAGCACUGUGCAAACACGAAAGUGGACGUAUACGGUGUGACGCCUGCCCGGUGCCGGAAGGUUAAUUGAUGGGGUCAGCGCAAGCGAAGCUCUUGAUCGAAGCCCCGGUAAACGGCGGCCGUAACUAUAACGGUCCUAAGGUAGCGAAAUUCCUUGUCGGGUAAGUUCCGACCUGCACGAAUGGCGUAAUGAUGGCCAGGCUGUCUCCACCCGAGACUCAGUGAAAUUGAACUCGCUGUGAAGAUGCAGUGUACCCGCGGCAAGACGGAAAGACCCCGUGAACCUUUACUAUAGCUUGACACUGAACAUUGAGCCUUGAUGUGUAGGAUAGGUGGGAGGCUUAGAAGUGUGGACGCCAGUCUGCAUGGAGCCGACCUUGAAAUACCACCCUUUAAUGUUUGAUGUUCUAACGUUGACCCGUGAUCCGGGUUGCGGACAGUGUCUGGUGGGUAGUUUGACUGGGGCGGUCUCCUCCUAAAGAGUAACGGAGGAGCACGAAGGUUGGCUAAUCCUGGUCGGACAUCAGGAGGUUAGUGCAAUGGCAUAAGCCAGCUUGACUGCGAGCGUGACGGCGCGAGCAGGUGCGAAAGCAGGUCAUAGUGAUCCGGUGGUUCUGAAUGGAAGGGCCAUCGCUCAACGGAUAAAAGGUACUCCGGGGAUAACAGGCUGAUACCGCCCAAGAGUUCAUAUCGACGGCGGUGUUUGGCACCUCGAUGUCGGCUCAUCACAUCCUGGGGCUGAAGUAGGUCCCAAGGGUAUGGCUGUUCGCCAUUUAAAGUGGUACGCGAGCUGGGUUUAGAACGUCGUGAGACAGUUCGGUCCCUAUCUGCCGUGGGCGCUGGAGAACUGAGGGGGGCUGCUCCUAGUACGAGAGGACCGGAGUGGACGCAUCACUGGUGUUCGGGUUGUCAUGCCAAUGGCACUGCCCGGUAGCUAAAUGCGGAAGAGAUAAGUGCUGAAAGCAUCUAAGCACGAAACUUGCCCCGAGAUGAGUUCUCCCUGACCCUUUAAGGGUCCUGAAGGAACGUUGAAGACGACGACGUUGAUAGGCCGGGUGUGUAAGCGCAGCGAUGCGUUGAGCUAACCGGUACUAAUGAACCGUGAGGCUUAACCU